rnacentral:rRNA from 1 species
UUAUAUCAUUAAAUUUAAAAGAUUUGGCGGUAUUUUAUAAAAUUAGAGGAACCUGUGUAUUAAUUGAUAAUCCACGAUAAGAUAAACUUAAAUAUUUAUGUAUUGCUGUUUUUAAAUUAUUAUUAAUUAAAUUUUUAUAAUAUUAUUUAAAUAUAAUUCAAGUCAAAAUAUAGUUUAGUUAAGAUAUGGGUUACAAUUUUAAGUUGAAAUUGGAUUUAAUAGUAA